GCCGUCCCGUGUGGGCUGAGUCAACGAAGCAGCCUUUGAGUUCUUUUUUUUUCGAACUUCAUUUCCUUCGUCUUUCUCGUUUCUCUCGGGAGAGGAGGUGGAAGCCAUGGCGGAGAGGCCUGCGGCGACGCCGUAUCCUGCUUGGCCGGUGUCGGAGGCAGAGGGGAUUCGCGAGCUGGGAAGACCGACGACGGGCAGAGCGCUGAUCUCCCAGCAGCCGGAGCGAGAGCCGCGACUCGCAUUCCCCCUCGAAGUACGAUGAAUAGAUCGCCGAUUCGCGACCGUCAAAAGCAUGUGCGCCGACGGGUUAUGGUGUCAAGGAAAUAAACUGGUGGGAGCCUCGGCAGCCACCCGGGCACGCCAGGUGCCGGCUCUGCCACUGUUUCUGAUGUAUGGUACUGCUUUUUAUAUUAUUGAUGGAUUUUUUUGAUUGAGAUAGGUUCUGUUGAAGUCUGAGAUUGUUGUAAUUUUGACUUUUCUACUAUCCAUCAGCUAUUUGUUGCUUAGGUCAUGUUAUAUCAGACAACCUGAAGCUUUUAGAAUCACUCAUAUGUUAUCAUCCUCUAUUGCUAUAGUUGCUUUUGAGUUCAGCUGUCUACAAACCUGGAUAUCAUUCAUCGUUUUCUAUUAGAGUUUAUCGUUCAUUGUAAUAUGAGUAUGCAGUGGCGAAGCUGCAAACAAAUACAUGGGCGGGCCAACUUAAAGAAGAGGAAAAAUAUCACGUCUUAGCUAGUGUGCUGCUACUGUUAAAGUGUUAAAGGCUAAUUUGGAGAUACAGGGGAUUUUUCUUGGAAAAUAUCCAAUCGCUAGCUAAUAAUCUGCCAAUCUGGGAAAGAAAAAUAUAAACAUGCUAGUGUGUUGUAUUUUCUGCAAUUGAAGGGAAAGUGGACGUGAGCUGCUCCAUUGAUGCAUGGGCUUGCUGCUGCAACGCCGUCGACGCUGCCAGGCAGGUAGACACGACAGGUUGUAUUUCAGUCAUUAUCGGAUUUCAAAAUCAUCCUAUUCAGUCUUGUUAUAUUUUAGUCUUUCAACCUUCGUUUCUUUCAGUCUCUCGAUCUUCAUUUAUUUCUGUCCUUCUCAUUUUUCUAUGUUUUGUUCUUAUGUUUUUAUGGCCUUCUCAUCGUUCUAAGUCAUGUUCUUCAGUCUUUCAAUCUUCAUUUUAAGGAACUUCCUCCGACCUUGUAAGCCUACAAGUGAAGAACUCACUAAUCUCGAGUCCACCAUAUAUGGGAGAGCUCACUAAUCUCAGUGUUCUUUAGUGUUUCAUUCUCCAGUUACCUAUUUGUUCUUUAGCAUUAGUAUUCAGCUUUCUGUUAUUCACUGUCAGUCAUCUCACUCUUGUUCGUCUUCAUUAUUUCAUUCUCUCUUUGUAUUUAUCCAGUGCUGAUUUCAGUACUUCAGCAUUUUCAUGUUCUCAUUCGAUCUUGAGCCUUUCAGAUUAUUUUUUAGGGAAAAUUUGCUACAGGACACCGUCAUUUUUUGGUAUUUGCUGAAACACACCGCUCGACUGUGUCUUUGCUGUUGGAAUUAAGCACGUCGAUGCCAAUACGGCAUCGUGCGCAUUGUCGUAUACGAGUGGUAUACGUCCGUGUAUACGAGUAGGUCUUGUGUUGUCCAGUUUGUGUAGGAUUAGGAGUCCUAAUUCUACUAGGUUAGCUACACAAUGACUACUAUAUAUACACCUGUAACCCCCUGUAAUCUGUACCAAGAGAAAAGAAAGAAAGAGGUGUUACGAGAGGCUCGACACGGGCCUCUAGCAAUCCAACAAUCGUGUCUUUGCGUGUGUGUUCCGACGAGACAGAAAUCGUCACAAGUAUCGAUCGUUCGCUGGUGUGUUGAUACGUACCUGAAGCUAGCUAUCUAGGAAAGCAAUCUAGAUCAACUAGCUUAUACGUACGUAUCUUGCCACCAGCUAGCACUUGCGCGUCUUGCCGGAAUCAAGCCAGCUUCGCUACAUACUCUACGCGUCUGUCUUGCCGGAAAGUACACGGCGGACUUCGUCGCUAGAUCGGGCCAGUUCUAACAUUUGCUAGGUACCAUUACAAUUUUGUGACAUAUUUGCCAAAACACACCACCAGCCCAAAAAAGGUAAGUUUUGCACUUUUGCGUGUGAUGAUUGGUUUUGAAGACAAAGUGCAAAACUUUCCUUUUUUAGCCAUGUGGUAUGUUUUGGCAAAUGUGCCACGAAAUUGUAAUGGUACCUAGCAAAGACACAAUCGAGCGGUGUGUUUCAGCAAAUGCCAAAAAACAACGGUGUCCUGUAGCAAAUUUUCCCUUUUUUUUAUAGUCACUCAGUAACUCGUUUCUUAGUGUAUUUCUUAAGCAUCUGAAUUCUCCAGUCUAUUUUAUUUGACUUUCAGUAUUUCACUUUUUCGUUACUUCUUUCAUUUUCUGUUUUUAAAUUCUUUGUAUUUAUCAGGAUUCUUAAGUAUCUUGGUUCAGUUCUUAUGUUUUUCACUACUUCAGUUCUUCAUUCAGUUUAGUUUUCAAAAAUUGUUGAUUUCAGAGUUCAGAUGCUCUUCGUCAGUUUCUUUCUUAGUUCAUUCUUUCUUUCUUAAUUCAUUUUUUUUAUUUUCUUCAUUCCCUCAGGUGCUAGUCCUUCUUUCUUCAGUCAUCCUUUAUCCAUGUCAUUAGUUCUUUAGUUAUCUUUCUCUAUGUUGUCAAAGUUUCAUUCAUUCCUUUUUUUCAUUAAAUUAUUCUUUAGUCCCUUAGUCUAUCUUUCUUCAUUAUAUAGCAUAUGUAAAUGCAUUUGAAGCAUCUUUUCUUGAUUGCUUCAUUCACUUGCAUUUCUUACUUCAUUCUCUCUGUCUAUCUAACUCAUGGAAGUGUAUUGAUUUUUCUUCAGACCCCAGUAAUCAGUCAUCUGUACACAGUGUAUGUUUCUUCAUUCUUAUUUUCUCUCUCUUCAGCCAUUCAAUUUUGAAUUAUUCAGUCAUUUGUUUAUUCAACCUUCUUUAGUCUUUAAUUGUUAAGUUUGUUGUUCAGUCCUGAAAUUGGAAGACUUCAUAGAUUCGGUGAGCCUAUACGCAUUGUCUUGUCUUUCAGUCCUUCUAUUCUUCAGUCUGUCAUAUUUCCUCGAUCAUCGGUUACUAUCUCCAUUUUGUCCUUCAAUAUAUGUUAUGUCCUCUUUCUUUUGGUCCUAUGUUCAGUCAUCCCUCCCUUCUUGGUGCCCUACUUAUGUCCUCUGUCUUCCUAUGGGUUUAUAUGCACUUCUAGUAUGGGAACCAUCAGCAAGUCCAUUGAAUUUUGUUGCCCUUCUAGUGGAAGUUCCCGGCUGAACCUGAUUCGCUAGGAAGUGGCUCCGCCACUUGUGGCAAGAGGAAGUGCGUGGUGCAUAGUAGACAAUUUCUCUCAGGUAGUCUAGCCAGGAUAUUUGUGGUGCAUACUUGAUGCUCUUUGUCAUGAUUUUUUUAUUAGUGCUUGCCUCAGUUUGGCAUCUUAAGAUUAUUAUUUAACAACAGGAAGUUACUUAGCGGUAAACCCAUAGCAACAGCUUGGCCCGCAACGGAAAUUGCAGCAGCUCCCAAACCUGCAGCCACUACCAAACCUGGUAUGUGCAGUUAAACAGGAGUAUAGAAAAGCAGGUGUACUCCAGUCCUCAAUCCAGUUUUGCAAUCUGUGAACAAAAUUCACGUUUUCGCGUGACAUGGAGUUUCAGGAGCACACCUUGGACUGACUGGAAUCUCCAAAUUGAAAAACGAAAAAAAGGCUAUGGCAGCUGGAGCAGAAGGAAGAGGUGGUUACACUCAUGUUUCAGUUUGCCUGAUGGACAGGAAGGUCGAUCAGGCUUUAUGAU